UAUGAAGCCAUUUGUAAGGUACCUCGAA
rnacentral:piRNA from 1 species